rnacentral:rRNA from 1 species
UACGUAGGGUGCGAGCGUUAAUCGGAAUUACUGGGCGUAAAGCGUGCGCAGGCGGUUUUGUAAGCCAGAUGUGAAAUCCCCGGGCUUAACCUGGGAAUGGCAUUUGGGACUGCAAGGCUUGAGUGCGGCAGAGGAGACGUGGAAUUCCUGGUGUAGCAGUGAAAUGCGUAGAUAUCAGGAGGAAUACCGAUGGCGAAGGCAGGUCUCUGGGCUGACACUGACGCUCAUGCACGAAA